rnacentral:rRNA from 1 species
AACGAACGCUGGCGGCGUGCUUAAUACAUGCAAGUCGUGCGAGAACGGGUCCUUCGGGGCCCGUAGUAAAGCGGCGCACGGGUGCGUAACACGUGGGCAACCUGCCCAACGGUUCGGGAUAAGCUCUCGAAAGGGGGUCUAAUACCGAAUGAUAUUCAGACGAGACAUCUCGUUUGACUCAAAGGCGGUGAAAGCCGUCGCCGAUGGAUGGGCCCGCGGCCCAUUAGCUAGUUGGCGGGGUAACGGCCCACCAAGGCUGUGAUGGGUAGCCGACCUGAGAGGGCGACCGGCCACACUGGGACUGAGACACGGCCCAGACUCCUACGGGAGGCAGCAGUGGGGAAGUCUUGCGCAAUGGGCGAAAGCCUGACGCAGCGACGCCGCGUGAGGGAU